AUUGAACGCUGGCGGCAGGCCUAACACAUGCAAGUCGAGCGGAUGAAGGGAGCUUGCUCCUGGAUUCAGCGGCGGACGGGUGAGUAAUGCCUAGGAAUCUGCCUGGUCGUGGGGGAUAACGUCCGGAAACGGGCGCUAAUACCGCAUACGUCCUGAGGGAGAAAGUGGGGGAUCUUCGGACCUCACGCUAUCAGAUGAGCCUAGGUCGGAUUAGCUAGUUGGUGGGGUAAAGGCCUACCAAGGCGACGAUCCGUAACUGGUCUGAGAGGAUGAUCAGUCACACUGGAACUGAGACACGGUCCAGACUCCUACGGGAGGCAGCAGUGGGGAAUAUUGGACAAUGGGCGAAAGCCUUGUCCAGGCAUGCCGCGUGUGUGAAGAAGGGUUUCGGAUUGUAAAGCACUUUAAGUUGGGAGGAAGGGCAGUAAGUUAAUACCUUGCUGUUUUGACGUUACCAACAGAAUAAGCACCGGCUAACUUCGUG
rnacentral:rRNA from 1 species